CCAUGCUAGUCGCACGAGUUCAUACUCGUGGCAUAUAGCUCAGUAACACGUGGCCAAACUACCCUAUGGACGACUAUAACCUCGGGAAAACUGAGGCUAAUAGUCGAUACAGCUCUCACGCUGGAAGAGCAGAGAGCUGGAAACGUUCCGGCGCCAUAGGAUGUGGCUGCGGCCGAUUAGGUAGAUGGUGGGGUAACGGCCCACCAUGCCCAUAAUCGGUACGGGUCAUGAGAGUGAGAGCCCGGAGACGGUAUCUGAGACAAGAUACCGGGCCCUACGGGGCGCAGCAGGCGCAAAACCUUUACACUGCACGACAGUGCGAUAAGGGGACUCCGAGUGCGAGGGCAUACAGUCCUCGCUUUUCUGUACCGUAAGGUGGUACAGGAACAAGUGCUGGGCAAGACCGGUGCCAGCCGCCGCGGUAAUACCGGCAGCACGAGUGAUGGCCAAUAUUAUUGGGCCUAAAGCGUCCGUAGCUGGCCGAGCAAGUCCGUUGGGAAAUCGACGUGCCUAACACGUCGGCGUCCAGCGGAAACUGUUCGGCUUGGGGCCGGAAGAUCCGAGGGGUACGUCCGGGGUAGGAGUGAAAUCCCGUAAUCCUGGACGGACCGCCGGUGGCGAAAGCGCCUCGGAAGGACGGACCCGACAGUGAGGGACGAAAGCCAGGGUCUCGAACCGGAUUAGAUACCCGGGUAGUCCUGGCCGUAAACAAUGCUCGCUAGGUGUGGCGCAGGCUACGAGCCUGCGCUGUGCCGUAGGGAAGCCGUGAAGCGAGCCGCCUGGGAAGUACGUCUGCAAGGAUGAAACUUAAAGGAAUUGGCGGGGG
rnacentral:rRNA from 1 species